rnacentral:rRNA from 1 species
GACGAACGCUGGCGGCGUGCCUAAUACAUGCAAGUAGAACGCACAGUUUAUACCGUAGCUUGCUACACCAUAAACUGUGAGUUGCGAACGGGUGAGUAACGCGUAGGUAACCUGCCUGGUAGCGGGGGAUAACUAUUGGAAACGAUAGCUAAUACCGCAUAAUAUUAAUUAUUGCAUGAUAAUUGAUUGAAAGAUGCAAUUGCAUCACUACCAGAUGGACCUGCGUUGUAUUAGCUAGUAGGUGAGGUAACGGCUCACCUAGGCGACGAUACAUAGCCGAACUGAGAGGGUGAUCGGCCACACUGGGACUGAGACACGGCCCAGACUCCUACGGGAGGCAGCAGUAGGGAAUCUUCGGCAAUGGACGAAAGUCUGACCGAGCAACGCCGCGUGAGUGAAGAAGGUUUUCGGAUCGUAAAGCUCUGUUGUAAGAGAAGAACGGGUGUGAGAGUGGAAAGUUCACACUGUGACGGUAUCUUACCAGAAAGGGACGGCUAACUACGUG